GGAAAGCCACUCCUUCAAUAGGGAAUUGUUAUACACAGUCCUGCAGUACAAAAAUGCUCGAUGUAGCUGUAAUUUUUUGCCUAAUACUGGGUAUGAAACAGAAGCUAAACAAUGGAAGCCAUUUUGUGUAAAUUGUCCUCUAAAUCUGUAUAAGGAUACCCUUUGUUUCUAAUUUUUCCUAGAGGCAAGUGUUCAGCUGUUGAGGAUGGGAAACUUGCUGUCUUUGUCAUCCCCAUUGUUAAGCUUGCAAACUUAAAUUUAUUUUUCAAUUCUUUUUUCAUUAAACACUUCUUUAUUAAUUCAGGAUCUGUCUUAGUAAGCAUAAAUCAUUAAUGAUAGCUAAUUUUUCUUCUAUUAUAUGUCUUUUUAACCCAGGGUUCCCAUAAGAUAAGUAGCAAAAAGCACUUAGAGGAGCAAGUAAUUAGAUUUCAUGCCUAUAUUAUUUCAUAUCUGCAGAAUCACAGUUUAUGCACAGACUUCAUUUGAAGCCAUUUAUAACAGAAUUCUGACCUGCUUUCAGCUGGCAUUUCUUUCUUGUCAUUUCCACUUGAGUAAUGUUACAGGGAAGGUGCUGCACACAUGUGAAAAACAAAGGAGCAGUGGUUUUUUCAAUUGUUGCAAAAUGUCUGGAUUUUAAGUUUUACUUAGAAUUUAUUCUUCAAGCCUGAAAUAGACUUUUUCUGCUAUAUUGUAUUAUGGGUUUCAUUUUGGUUUUGUUUCAGACUCUACCCUUGGUGACACACCUGAAGAUGAUGCUGCAUCUCCGCUCGAAGAAGAAAACGUUAUUAAGGAGUCUUUGCAAGAGUUAGAAGAGAAGCAGACUUCAUCAAAUGUGACUUCCCGACCAACUACAUCUUCUAGAAGGAGGACACACAGUGAAUCUGGAAAUCUUCCCUUUAAACCACUAUUCUUGUUAAAUUGGGAUGGUAGCGGCUCCUUUGGAGCCACUUAAAUAGUGUGUAGAGACCUUGUGGUGAUACAGUAUCAGUACGGCAUGGAGCCAUGACAACUAAAUGAGGACAACGAUGGACAGGA